UUGUAGUAUUGAGUAAUUGGUAACUCACUAGAUUCAUGCUCUAGGAAUAUUGGUUCAAGUCCAAUUACUACAAA
rnacentral:tRNA from 1 species